UACGUAGGGUGCGAGCGUUAAUCGGAAUUACUGGGCGUAAGGCGUGCGCAGGCGGUGCUGUAAGACCGAUGUGAAAUCCCCGGGCUUAACCUGGGAACUGCAUUGGUGACUGCAUUGCUGGAGUAUGGCAGAGGGGGGUGGAAUUCCACGUGUAGCAGUGAAAUGCGUAGAGAUGUGGAGGAACACCGAUGGCGAAGGCAGCCCCCUGGGCCAAUACUGACGCUCAUGCACGAAAGCGUGGGGAGCAAACAGG
rnacentral:rRNA from 1 species